AGAGUUUGAUCAUGGCUCAGAACGAACGCUGGCGGCGUGCUUAACACAUGCAAGUCGAGUGCGCGUGCCGUAGCAAUACGGUAUGGCGCACGGCGCACGGGUGCGUAACACGUGGGCAAUCUGCCCUCCGAUGGGGAAUAACUCCGGGAAACCGAAGCUAAUUCCGCAUAACAUUCCCUGGACUCCGGUUCGGGGACUCAAAGCAGCAAUGCGUCGGAGGAGGAGCCCGCGCCCGAUUAGCUAGUUGGUGAGGUAACGGCUCACCAAGGCUAUGAUCGGUAGCUGGUCUGAGAGGAUGGCCAGCCACACUGGAACUGAGACACGGUCCAGACUCCUACGGGAGGCAGCAGUGGGGAAUCUUGCGCAAUGGGCGAAAGCCUGACGCAGCGACGCCGCGUGGGGGAUGAAGCUUCUCGGAGUGUAAACCCCUUUCGACCGGGACGAAUGCCCGCAAGGGAGUGACGGUACCGGUAGAAGAAGCCCCGGCUAACUACGUGCCAGCAGCCGCGGUAAGACGUAGGGGGCCAGCGUUGUUCGGAAUUACUGGGUGUAAAGGGUUCGUAGGCGGUGUGGCAAGUCGGGAGUGAAAUUUCUGGGCUUAACUCAGAACCUGCUUCCGAAACUGCUGUGCUCGAGUGUGGGAGAGGCGCGUGGAAUUGCAGGUGUAGCGGUGAAAUGCGUAGAUAUCUGCAGGAACACCCGUGGCGAAAGCGGCGCGCUGGACCACUACUGACGCUGAGGAACGAAAGCUAGGGGAGCAAACAGGAUUAGAUACCCUAGUAGUCC
rnacentral:rRNA from 1 species